rnacentral:rRNA from 1 species
GUCGAGCGAAUGGAUUAAGAGCUUGCUCUUAUGAAGUUAGCGGCGGACGGGUGAGUAACACGUGGGUAACCUGCCCAUAAGACUGGGAUAACUCCGGGAAACCGGGGCUAAUACCGGAUAACAUUUUGAACCGCAUGGUUCGAAAUUGAAAGGCGGCUUCGGCUGUCACUUAUGGAUGGACCCGCGUCGCAUUAGCUAGUUGGUGAGGUAACGGCUCACCAAGGCAACGAUGCGUAGCCGACCUGAGAGGGUGAUCGGCCACACUGGGACUGAGACACGGCCCAGACUCCUACGGGAGGCAGCAGUAGGGAAUCUUCCGCAAUGGACGAAAGUCUGACGGAGCAACGCCGCGUGAGUGAUGAAGGCUUUCGGGUCGUAAAACUCUGUUGUUAGGGAAGAACAAGUGCUAGUUGAAUAAGCUGGCACCUUGACGGUACCUAACCAGAAAGCCACGGCUAACUACGUGCCAGCAGCCGCGGUAAUACGUAGGUGGCAAGCGUUAUCCGGAAUUAUUGGGCGUAAAGCGCGCGCAGGUGGUUUCUUAAGUCUGAUGUGAAAGCCCACGGCUCAACCGUGGAGGGUCAUUGGAAACUGGGAGACUUGAGUGCAGAAGAGGAAAGUGGAAUUCCAUGUGUAGCGGUGAAAUGCGUAGAGAUAUGGAGGAACACCAGUGGCGAAGGCGACUUUCUGGUCUGUAACUGACACUGAGGCGCGAAAGCGUGGGGGAGCAAACAGGAUUAGAUACCCUGGUAGUCCACGCCGUAAACGAUGAGUGCUAAGUGUUAGAGGGUUUCCGCCCUUUAGUGCUGAAGUUAACGCAUUAAGCACUCCGCCUGGGGAGUACGGCCGCAAGGCUGAAACUCAAAGGAAUUGACGGGGGCCCGCACAAGCGGUGCAGCAUGUGGUUUUAUUCCGAAGCAACGCGAAGAACCUUACCAGGUCUUGACAUCCUUUGACAACCCUAGAGAUAGGGCUUCUCCUUCGGGAGCAGAGUGACAGGUGGUGCAUGGUUGUCGUCAGCUCGUGUCGUGAGAUGUUGGGUUAAGUCCCGCAACGAGCGCAACCCUUGAUUUUAGUUGCCAUCAUUAAGUUGGGCACUUUAAGGUGACUGCCGGUGACAAACCGGAGGAAGGUGGGGAUGACGUCAAAUCAUCAUGCCCCUUAUGACCUGGGCUACACACGUGCUACAAUGGACGGUACAAAGAGCUGCAAGACCGCGAGGUGGAGCUAAUCUCAUAAAACCGUUCUCAGUUCGGAUUGUAGGCUGCAACUCGCCUACAUGAAGCUGGAAUCGCUAGUAAUCGCGGAUCAGCAUGCCGCGGUGAAUACGUUCCCGGGCCUUGUACACACCGCCCGUCACACCACGAGAGUUUGUAACACCCGAAGU